CGCCUGGCUCUUAUUUUUUUUUAUUAUUAUUAUUUUUUAAUCACAGUGGCUUUGUAGUAUAGUUUCAAGUUAGGGAUUAUGAUACCCCCUGCCAUGUCUCUGUUGCCUAGAAUUGCUUUUUCUAUUUUCUAGGUUUCUCCUGGUUCCAAAUGAAGUUUUGGAUUGUUUUCUCUAGUUCUGUGAAAUAAGUACCUCCUUUUUAUUGCUUUUUCAGCAAUGACUUUCCUAAACUGAAAGCUGAGUAGAUGUAUUGAGAGUUUAUUCUUACAUAUUCUUAUAUCUGGAUAUGAAUGCAAAUUUUAAUAUAAAGGAAUAAAAAAGUUCACUUAGCUAAGGAUACAUUGGGAUUGAGCUAUUUUCAUGAUUGUAUUUUCCAGAAGUAACAAAUGAAAUAAUUCCUGAGUAUCUUUUUAUGUGGGUGCACUUCGGUUGGACGCUGAAAAAUAUACAAAUUAGAAGCCAUAGCAGGGCUUGUGAAGUUGUAAGGAAUGUUGCUCUCAAAGCACAAAGAUGUGGAGGUACAAGGAAGCCUAUUGGAAUCUGGUACAUUGAACACCUCAGAUCUUGGAAUAAGUAUUUGCCUUUUGGAUUGGUUGUAGAAUAAAUGUUUAAUAGGAUCUGUAGGAGAUGUGAUCACAAUAUUGUAACAGUGAACCCUCAGGUUACGACUGUCCUGAUAAACAGCUUGGGUUGAUUAAUGUAAGAUUCAUCUGCCUCUUGUUAUCUGUAGAAUGUACUCAGGUAAACAUCAGGAUCUCAGCUGUACUGACUUAGAACCAACUUAAGUUACAAGUAGCCCUCAGGAACCAGUUGAGUUUGUUAAGUCAAAGAUCCACUGUACUAUUUUACUAGACUCCAAACUCUUUAUAGCAAAUACUGGUUCAUACCACUUUGUUUCCUUAUAAAUGCCCAUUUAAUAUAUUUAUGUUGGCUUGAGGAUAAAUGUUUUUUCUUUUUUAGCACAUUUAUGAUGCGACUGUAAAUAGCAUGUCUCGGUACUAGGUGGCUCUGUACCAGCGGUGGCACAUGCAUGACUGUCCCACGGGAUGGUACAAGCUGUAUGUGCAUGUCAUGCAGUACCACUGAUGAUUUGAGCCAGAGAGAUUGUGUUUAAAAAGCAACAUAAAACUUAGUUUUAUGACUUAGUGAGACCCUAUCUCAAAAGUUUUUUUUCUAGAAAAGGGCUGGGAAUGUAGCUCAGUGUGAAGGCCUGGGUUCAAUCUCCCAUACUACAAAAAAAGGAAAACAAAAAUUCUUAAAGAAUUUAGUUAUUUUAGAUAAGGUUCUAACAUUUUAAAACAGUAAGUAGGUUUUUUCUUAGUUACAAUAAAAGGUACUAUACUAGACCUGCUGAUUUUCAAAUAAAGAAAGAAAUCUGAAUUUUCAUGGGAAGUUGUCUUACUACUUAGCAUUACCAACUAAUUACAAAC
rnacentral:lncRNA from 1 species